CUGCAUUCGGCAGACCUGCUCCAGAUGCAUACCUAGAAGUGGAGUCGAAGAGUCGGAAAUCAAGUUCGUUCUUUUUUGUUUUUUUCCCCUGAGUUUCAUCUGAGAUUUUUUUGAGCCAGGAUUUUUUAGCUUUAAAAAAUAUGUAUGGUCAUUUGAUAUUCAAAUUUAUAGUACUGAAAUUUUCUCUGCACUGUGCUUUGUUCGUUAAAACAGCUCUCAUGUUUCCUUGCAGAAUAAAAGCCGUCCUCAUUCUAGGGGAGAAUAUAAUGUUUACAGCACCUUUCAAAGUCAUGAACCGGAGUUUGACUAUUUGAAAAGUCUAGAAAUUGAGGAAAAAAUUAAUAAAAUUAGGUGGUUACCACAACAGAAUGCUGCUCAUUUUCUACUGUCUACAAAUGAUAAAACUAUAAAAUUAUGGAAAAUAAGUGAACGAGAUAAAAGAGCAGAAGGUUAUAACCUGAAAGACGAAGAUGGAAGACUUCGAGACCCAUUUAGGAUCACGGCGCUACGGGUCCCAAUAUUGAAGCCCAUGGAUCUUAUGGUAGAAGCG
rnacentral:sRNA from 1 species